UUUAAGAAUUCAGUCAUGGAAGGUGAGCCAUCUUUCCACUGAGUGUGUGAUUCUAAAGGCCUUUCUUGGUAUUUAACUACAGGGUAAGACAACAGCUAAACAUGUUAAGGCCCUAAUGAUGAGCCUGGUAGGCUAGGUUAUCGAACUGUGAGAGAGGAUUCAGAUCGUGCUUGCUCCCCAAAAACAUGCUCGAUGGAGGCAGAUCUGGAGACUCUGAUAGGAACCCUAGGCUGCCACACUCAAAACCUCCAGCGUCUUUAGCAGGGGAGCCGCGAAGGGUCUCAGAGCCUGCUCCAAUCACAGCCCUGCUAAGAGGUGAAGUUUCUCAGAGCGAGUGGUCACAGCCACCAUGUCACCCGUCCCCGUUACUAUUGUCCCAUUGCGCUAACACGUCACAGGCUGAGUGGGAACCUAACUUAGGCUCUUCAGUGACCUUGUUCAAAGUGUUUUUGGGUCAAUCACACUGCUCUCUCAACAAGACAGAUUUGGGGCUGAAAGACCAAGCCAGUCAGGAAAUGGACACGAAGAUCCCAGGUCAACUAGGGGCAAGAGAGGUCUUGAAAAGCCAAGGACAAGUAAAAUUACGAGAGAGGAAAGACUAUGAGGAAACAGGCAGUGAGUGGACGGCGAAAGGAGAAGAAAGGAGCAGAUGUGCUGAGCAGAGUGGGUAAGUCCGGAGAAAUACAGACUGAGGUUCUGAUGUCUCCCAGUUGUGGUUCUUGGAGGCGUCCGCAUGUGUGUUUGCUUCGUGUCCCCGUGUUCCCUGUGACUCCUGUGGAUUCUCGCGUUGCCCACCUGCAGGUACUAGUCUGUGUGUCCUCGCAGUCAAAAGACCCGGCCCUGGACGCUGACAGUUUGAGAACCCCCUUCGACAGGCAGUGGGACCUUUACUCUCACCCCGCUGUUCCGAAUCUGCCCACCUCAUGGGAACCCUGUCAGACACUAGCAUGUCUGGGACUGUCCAGGGCUUGAGGCUUUAAAGUUCACCAGCAGGGCCUGGACCUCUUCACACUCAAACCCGGGAGGCCUGGAGAUCAUCCUUUAGCUCCAGGAGGGCUCGUCCGGUGCUCUCAAGUCAUGAAUGGUUAUUUACCAGCGGGGCUGGGGAGCCGGUCUCCUACAUGUCCCCUCACACCCCUGGAACUGCCACAGUGACAGUGCCACUCAUUCUCAGUCCCAUUUUUUUUUAAUCUUUAUUUAUUUAUUUUGAGAGAGAGGCAGAGGGAGUGAGCUGAGGAGGGAUACAGAACCCGAAGCAGCUCCAGGCUCUGAGCUGUCAGCACAGAGCCCAUGUGGGGCUUGAAGUCAGCACGUGAUCAUGAUCUGAGCCACCAACUGGGCCACCCAGCCCCAGUCCCAUUCUUUGGAAACAAAAGAGCAAAAGAACAAAAGUAACUCAAAGCAGCUGGUGAAAUAUAAGAGCAUGGAAAGUUUCAAAUCCCAGAGCAAAUGUGGAUUCAUCAGGGAUCAUUUGCCAGAGACCUGACUCAAUGGCAAAAGACCUUCUCACCAUUUCUCACAUCCCUUCCUGGGUUUCAUACAGAGUGGAUAAAGAACGACUAAGCUCCGAACAAGUCUCCCAAAGAGGAGACAAUCCCGUAAACCUUCCCAGGAUCUCUGCGCCACCCGCCGAGACUGAUGCGCGAGAGAUGGCUGUUACCAAGAUUAUUCCCAAACAUCCUUUAGCUUGCUGGAGACCACAAAGAUCAGUCCUGCCUGAGAGGCCACCGGUGUGCAUCUGACAAAAGAAUAAGAUGAUGGAAAAAUAUGGCCAUGUCCUUGAAGUGGGGGCUGCCGAUGGAAGAAAAGCAGUAGAUGGGCAGAAGACAAGGUCAAAACCCAGGCCGGGCUGACGCCGUCUGGAAGACCAAAAGCCAGCUGCCUUAUCGACGAAUUUAAUGAGCACCUAUUAUGUGUGGGGACAUUGCCAAAUGCUGCAGGAAUCCCUUCCCGAGGGUAUUUACAGUCUAUUGAGGAGACAAGACACGUGUAGACCAAAUGAUUUAAUUAUCAUCUCAGGUGGGUGUUUGGUUGAUCUCUGGAGUCCCUCUUGUUCUUCCCCAGUCAGAGAACACUAUGAUUUUAUUUUUUCCCCCACUUUUAGAACACUUUUUCUACAUAUGUAAGUAUAUGCUGAUUUGUUUAUCUGUUUCUAGUCUGUCUUCUCAUACCGAGCUGUUAGAGCAAGAAGAGAAGGGGCUGUGUGUGUUUUGGUAUUGCUGUAUCUCCAGAAGCUAACACAGUGCCUGGUGCGUAGUAGGUGCUCAGUAAAUGUUUCUUUAAUGAAUCCAUGAACGAACCAAUGAAUGAGAGAUUGGCUGGGAAACUCUCAGGUGUCAGGAGAACACAUUGCAGGCACAGCUAGAAAGAAAGCUGGUUAAAGCGACUUUUUUUUUUAAUGUUUAUUUUAGUUUUGAGAGAGAGACAGACAGAUGGACCAUGAGUGGGGGAGGGGUAGAGAGAGAGGGAGACACAGAAUCUGAAGCAGGCUCCAGGCUCCGAGCUGUCAGCACAGAGCCCGAUGCGGGGCUUGAACCCCCGAACCACGAGAUCAUGACCUGAGCUGAAGUCAGAUGCUUGACCGACUGAGCCCCCCAGGUACCCCGUUUCGGGGUCUUUAUUACUAGUUACAGAUAAUUCUCAGACUCUGAAAAUGUGAUUGCUCAAAUUUCACUUUAAAUAUAGUCGGUACGAGUUGAUAUUUAUAGAAGUUUUACUUCCCUCUAUGCUGCAAAAAGCCUCCAGCCUGUUAGAAUUCUCUAUCUGCGUUCUUUGCCUCCACAAGGGCAAUGAAUGACAGGACCAACAACAAUGGUAACAUGGCCGCUGUUUAGGUAGCACUUCCUGUAUGGCGGGCACAGGGCUGACUGGUCCUCAUGAGGACACUGCAGCAUGAGAGGUGUAUUACCUAGAGUGGGGUAACUUAUAUUUUGCCACUGUGGCAUCCAUGUAGUUUGGUGGUCAAGGUUAUCUCCUGAACACAGUUAUUUGGGGCUUCAGGCUCCUUUCAUAUAGAAAGCCAGUAGGGCAUCAGAAUCCUCCUUUUGGCCCCUGUGAAUCUGGUGGUAGUUGAUAAGAGAAAGGGGAGGGAAUGUGAGGAUCAGGCAGAAGGGUUUAGAUUCCAAGUCGAGAAGUGGUCUAUUUCCUCCCUGUGCUCAGAUUCCAUCGGCCAGGUGUUGAUUCCAUGACCCCAUCGAAAGGCAAGGGGGCUGGGAUGCAUGGUCUUGGCAAAUGCCCAGGAAGAAGAGGCAAUGGUGUCGGUGAGCAGCUAGUUUCUGUCUCUCAAAGGUUAAGUGACUCAUAAGAUAAUAAAUAUUACAGCUCGGGGACCCAAACCCACGUCAGUUGCAAGCUGUUAACUACACACUCCCUUUCUUCCCUUCAUCUGUCAGUUCAUUGUCAGUGUUUGCUUGUUUUGUGUCGAAUGUAUAGUGUACCACAGCCGGGCCAUGAAGGGAAGGUUCUGGUCUGCUCUUUGUCAGGAGGACUCACCACCUGAUCAAGGGCUGGGCUGAAAGUGGAUUAUUUGAAGGGGCAGGAAGAUGGAUGGCUGUGAUACUUCCUCUGUGAAACCAUAUAGCCUCCGUUUUCAUGUCAGCAGCUCGGGGAUGCUGUUCCUGCUGAACUAAUUCCCGCCAGAUAUAGUGAGGCCACGUUAGACCAAGGACAUCGGACCCUUCUCUGUGGCCGGGCUGCUCACGGACCCUUGGAUCUCCCAUUACUAAACCUGCGUAAUGGGCAUAACUUCAUUUUACCCAGUCCACCGUGCAAGAUAUGCACCUUUAAGUAUUUCUUUAACUCAAGUUGUCAUACUUCAUUAAUUCCAAUGCAUGCCUUUUCAUGCGUUAACGUCUCAGAAAUCAGGAUCUUCUCACUGAUGGCAUCUUUGAAUUGCUGUUUCCCGGGUGGCAGGGUGGACGGAAUGGCCCGUGCAUGUCUGAACUUGUUCACAGGCAUUCCUAUGACCGUCCCUUCUGUUGAAGUCUGUGCAUUGUUGGUAGGACCCAAGUUGAGUUUAGUUGCUGUUUGAACUGUUUUCAAAAAGAUCAUCCCAAGUUUCAGGUUUGAGAUGAAAAGUUAUCGUUACCUUUCAACAGAAAGGUUUGGAAACAGAGCAGUGGGGUGCAGAUAUGGUAUUAGUGAAGCAGGUAUUUGUGUUGGGGGGUUCGCUGAAAAGCAACAACCUCAUACAAGGUAAUAGACGUAGAUUACUACAAGCGUUUGAAACUGUGGUCAUUUUGUUACUGAGUUGUGUACAAAGGCAAUGCCUGUUUGCACACGUCAAGCAAGCAAGCACCCACAUCAGACCUUUUAGAAUGGAUGGCAGCAUCUCGGAAGAAAACCUGGAGCCAACAGUGGGGACACUUGUAAGAAAUGUUUCAUCAUCAAUACAGAGGACAGCGCUGUGCAGAAAAAUAUGAACAUUGAUUCCGAAUGCGUAAACUCUGAAUGCGAAGAUAACUUCGGGGAUUUCUUAACUAAUUUAUUUUCUUUUUUGUAUAUGCAUAAGUGUGAUGUAUAAUAAAAGCCUCUGACCCAAUAAGUCUAGAAAAGCUUUUUCAGCAAGCAUAAAAUACAGAUUUUAAGUGAUGAGAAAGCAUUGUUUCAUAGAUUAAUUGGCGUCUUUCUUUCUUAGUGGUACAUAAAUUAAUGAUGCAUUUUACAAUCGAUGGCUUCUGAGUAUCAAUGAAAUAGCUACUUUCUCAUUUGAGUUCCCAUUCCUUUGGGUAUUAGAAAUUAAAUUUCCGUCAGUUCAGCAGCACCCCUCCCCAUGAUUACAUUGCAUUCCUGGGGGCUUACCCACAGCUACCAUUUAGACUGAGGACACUGUGUUUGUUGGGCAUGAGUUUCUCUCUGUGCUGGCAGCCACCGAGAUGGCCAUGUCUGAUGCCACACAGAUCGCUGCUGGGUCCUUUUUCUGUUCUCAUCUCAGGCCUCUUUCAGAGUUGGGGGGAUCUUUCUGCUAGUUCAAGUGGGCUUGGGGUCCACCUCCCUGGCAGCGAAGAUGCUGAGCUGGUGAGGCCCUGGGCCCCUCGGUGGGCUCUCUGGAGCAGGAAGGGCAGUUUGCAUCCUCUUGGGCACUGGGUGGAAUUCACUCUUCCCACUGCUCUUAGGCAUGUAGGAUCCAGCUUCCCUUUGCCAUCUCUUUGGAACGGGGAGACCUAGACCCCGCCAUGUUUCCACUCUGGCAUCUUGUGGCCUCCCUGGCUCCACCUGGGGAAGGGGUACGCGUGUCCUCCGGCCUGUGUGGGGUUUCUGGUUGUUCCUCUCCCAUCUCUGUACGAUGAGGGGAGGGGGCUGUGCUGCAGGACCCCCUGUUGAGGUCCCUCCUGGCCUCCUCUCCAGCCUGCCCUGUCCUCCUGGUCUGGGCAAUGCCUUCUAACCUGGAGGGCCAGAGAGCCUGUCUCUUACUCCCCUCCCCAAGUUUUGCAGCUCCUCAGAGGCUUUGGGUUCUAAAACUCAAGCCAAGGACAGACUCGUGGUUCCCCUACCGUCUGGACGAGUGCUUCAGAGCACAAAGCUGACUAAAUGGAAGAAAGAUCUGGAAGAAAGAAACACAAGAAAAUCACAUUGGCUCACAUUUCAAAAUAUCACCCCAAUGCAGGUUCUCACCGUGGUUCCCCUUUCCCCUUUAUUUUAAUGUGUUUGUGUGGGUCCAUUUCUCACAUUGUCGGUUUUCCACCCUAUUUUGUAGUAGCCUGGGGCCCCGUUCCAACUACGAUGCCUCAGAUUGACUGUUUCUCAUUACCUCGGAAACCGGGGUGAAGGGACAACCAUGUUCUUCCUUCACCUCCUCCUCCUUCAAUUGUUAUCAUAUGAAGUUUAUAAUCUUUGUUCCAUCAUAGAGAAUCCGUAACAUGAGACCAAGUAGAAGGAAGGAAAGGAAAUCGUGCAUCACCUCACUGUGCUAAGACAUCCACUGGUGGGUGACAUUUUGUUCUUUCUCAAGUUGGUUCUUCGUGCUUACAUAGCUUUUGUGUAUUUUUAUAUAGCUGACAUUGCAUCAGCCAUAAAAGCGAAUAUCCUGCUUCGUUCAUUCAACACUGUGGCUGAGUAUGUUUCCUUAUUAUCCUCAAGUCUUCAGAACCUUUAGUUCAAUGUGGCCGUUUAUGCAACCAUCUCCCUUGCGUUGAGCACUUGGCGUAUUCCCUUCGUCAUAAAUAAACGAUAGCAUUGUGAUGACAUUCUUGUGCAUGAAAGUUGCCCCGCCAUUUCUGACUAUUGUCUUGAGAUAGACUCCCAGGAUCGGAAUCGCUUGUAAGACUGCCGUCUUAAAAACAAGCCAUUUCCCUACCCUCUCUGUGACGUCUUCUCUGCCCAUUUAUCAGUUGUUACAGUAACGCUUAUCUGCGGGUAGCGCGUACUGUUUGGCUGGGAGUUUUCUACAAGCUGGCGUCCUUACAACAAUUUGGCAUUUAUCUAUAGGAGGUCACGUCCGGUACCUCCACGUACAAAGUCUGACUCGGUUACUUGGAAAGUUUCAUCAUUUUUUAGCCAAAGAUGUUGACAGGCAGCCUGCGGCAUUAGACCUGGAGCGUCACGUUGAACAUGAAAAUGACUCUGAACGUGAUGUGGCCGAUUUCGUUCUAAACAAUCAUCCAACGCUGAUCCGUAAAAAGCACUGUCCCCUCCAAGGAGCCACUGUGGAUGGCCGAGCACUUAUUCCAAAGAUGUAUCAGGGGUGACUUUCUGAUGUGACUAGUCGGUAGCCGAGUGUAUGAAGACAGUUCUCCAGGAGAAAAGAAUUACGCUGUAACCCACAGCAGCAUCUUUGGGACCGAAACAUCAGCCAUGUUGACACCAGGUUGAGGACGUAUAUGCUCUGAAGCAUUUAACCUCGGCUCAUUACUUACUAGUGAUAUCAUUUAAAUUAAAAUAGUCACUUUUUUUUUUUUUUUAAGUAUGAGAUCAGGGGCGCCUGGGUGGCUCAGUCAGUUAAGCGUCUGAGUCAGCUCAGGUCAUGAUCUCGCAGUUCGUGAGUUCGAGGUCCACAUGGGGCUCUGUGCUGACAGCUCGGAGCCUGGAGCCUGCUUCGGAUUCUGUGUCUCCCUCUGUCUCUCUCUCUCUGCCCCUCCCCUGCUUGCACUCUGGCUCUCUCUCUCAAAAAUAAAUAAACAUAAAAAAAAAAAAAGUCUGAGAUCAGGAAGAAGAAUAACAUGUACGUAUUGCAAGUUCCUGGGCUUGAUUAAUUUUAACACUCCAGGGAGGACCUUGCCUCUUUUAAAACAAUGCCAUCUUAUCCAUUUAAAAUAAUACAGAUGCAUCCCAGGGAAUUGGGGAAACCCAGGAACUUUGUCUCUCAGAGAUGUUCCCUCAUAAUAUCUGAUUGGGUUCCCUGGAAACAGAGUCCGAGAUAAAAGUUGCAUGCGGAGUGUAUCUUGGGGAGACUCCCCUGGACGAAAGGGAGGGAGAAGCUCGCAGAGGGAGACUCUGGUUCCAAAUGUGGCUCCCACUGACCGGGGCUGAGCGGGCCUGGCCUUCCAGAAUGCUUCCAAAGGAAGGUAAGUGGAUGGGCCUUUGUGGCCCUGCCUCAGCAAGUCACUGCUCCCCCCUCCCUCCCCCCCGCUGCCCCGCCCCGGAGGGGCUAAUUUUGGAUGCGUCUACUUCCUGGGGCCCAGGACAAUUCCCAGUGAGGGGUGCAGCUGUGAGCUAUCAGCAGUGACAUCCCAGCAGCCGGGGAGGGAUCAGGGCUCCAGAGGAGGGACUUGGGUGAAGACACAUGAUGUACCACAUUGCAUCCACAUUGGGAUCCCCCCCACCCCCCACAUCACAUACAACUUCAAGCCCACUUUUUUGCUGAACGUUCUUUGGUGAAUUGUCCCCAUCUCGUGAACCUUUCUUUGAAAACAUUUUAAGUAGAUGCCUAUUUGAUUGUGUGGAAAUAUCGUCUAUGUAACCAUUCUCUCAUUGUGGGACAGCUCAUUUUUAACACAUUUUCCCCGUGAGAGACAAUGUUGCCACGGCCACAUUUGUGUCUCGGCGAUGGACACGGUAACAAUAAAAAGAGUCCACACUUAAUUGACUGCUUAUUGCUGACCGGAUCAGGCUAAUAUUUUUCUUGCCUUCCGUGUGGAGUUUUCAUGAAAAAUAAACGAGAAGAUGUAUAUAAAUAAAGAUGUUACAUUUAAUAACUCAGUCGUCUUCACACCUCCGUGAUGCAGAGCCAGUUAUCCCCAUUUUGCAGGCGAGGAACCCAAGGUCCAGAGAGGUUGAGUCCCCCUUGCAAAGUUGCACAGCUGGUGAAAUACGGACACUCUAAAUCCAGAGGUCAAACAAUACACUGUACUGCUUAACCUGCUUUCCUGAAGUUCAUAUCCUUAGAAGGAAAAUUCCGAGGUCAAAGGGCUUGAUUUAUUUUAGAACUCACGAUAAGAAUUGCCAGACGGUUUUCCAGAAGCAGUGAGUACUUGCGCUAGCAGAGGAAGUGGGUUUAUUUCAGCGCAGUCAACCCCGAAAACCCUGAAUCCUUAGAACCAUGAUACACGACUAGUCCUCUAUUUCCUUGUCUUCCAUCAGGCAUUGUGAACAUCGGUGGUUCUUUAAAAAAAAUUUUUUUUUAAUUUUUAAAAAAUGUUUAUUUUUGACAGAGAGAGUGAGGGACAGAGCGUGAGCUGGGGAGGGGCAGAGAGAGGGAGACACAGAAUCCGCAGCAGGGUCCAGGCUCCGAGCUGCCAGCACAGAGCCCGACGGGUCUCAAACCCACGAGCCACGAGAUCCUGACCUGAGCCAAAGUCACAUGCUUAACCCACUGAGCCAGCCAGGCGCCCCUGAACGUCGGUGGUCCUUAAGCAGAAGGUUUUCUUUUUGUUUUAGCACGCACAACUUUUUCAGGAUCAUCUUGUAAGGGUUGACUCCAUUGUGCCGCCUACAUUUCCAAGAAGAAUUUUUCGUUUGCAGAAUGAAUGCGUGAAUGAGGGCGGGGAGAGAACGUGAACCCGCAACCCCUCGCUGGGAGUGAAGCAGGUGAAUGGAAACCCCGGAGAAGACCGUCCUCCAGAAACAGCGCGAGUAGUUUUCGAUAAUGGAAAGGUUUCCCAAAAAUUCUUUGCCAGGGUCUUUUUCUGAGUCUCCGUUGAACUGCUUAUUUAAUAAGCACUGUCCACCCUUUACGAGCUGGACUCUAUCAUGUGCUUGGAAACACCAAUGUUUAAUGCUGGGAACAAAAAACUUUGGGGUCAUCUAGCCCCCACCUGACUUCAAGCUGGAGGAGCAUGAAGUCAGGGCAGCCGCCUGCUAGGGGAGGGGCAUUUCCCUGUUCUGGGGGUGGCCGUGCAGGAGCUGGGUUUCUGUUAUCUUUCGUUCGUGGUCAGAGGAACCCUUCUAAGAUGUCACCAGAGUUAUUUUGCAUUAUUUUAGCAGUGACUUAGGCUGAUGCUACCUUCAAAUACCUCAAUAUCUAGUUUGCCACCGAAUUCUGAAGGAUUUCUUUGGAAAACCAAGAAGUUUUUCCUUCGAUAUUUUGCCCUUUGGCACUGGAUCAAACCUCUCCAAGUUCAUUUCCUGACCUCCUCCUCUUCCACCUAGGUUCCUGGGAGGCUUCGGUGAGCUAACGUAUGUAACAUACGUCCCCAGAGUAAGCGCUCAGUAGAUACUGGCUUCCACUUCCUCUGGGUCCGCACGUUCCCUGAACUUUCUUCCGCCUGGGAUGGCGAAUGAUUGCGUG